CGUUUCGCCCGCCGGCGACCGGCGCACGGGUGGGUAACACGUAUGCAACCUGGCCGCCACAGGGGGAUAACCCGCGGAAACGCGGCCUAAUACCCCGUGACGCCACCGGAGGGCAUCCUCCGGGUGGCCAAAGGAGCGAUCCGGUGGCGGAUGGGCAUGCGGCGCAUUAGCUAGACGGCGGGGUGACGGCCCACCGUGGCGACGAUGCGUAGGGGUUCUGAGAGGAAGGCCCCCCACACUGGGACUGAGACACGGCCCAGACUCCUACGGGAGGCAGCAG
rnacentral:rRNA from 1 species